AUACGUAGGGAGCGAGCGUUGUCCGGAAUUACUGGGUGUAAAGGGAGCGUAGGCGGGAUGGAAAGUCAGAUGUGAAAACUAUGGGCUCAACCCAUAGACUGCAUUUGAAACUGUUGUUCUUGAGUGAAGUAGAGGUAAGCGGAAUUCCUGGUGUAGCGGUGAAAUGCGUAGAUAUCAGGAGGAACAUCGGUGGCGAAGGCGGCUUACUGGGCUUUUACUGACGCUGAGGCUCGAAAGCGUGGGGAGCAAACAGGAUUGGAUACCCUGGUAGUCCACGCUGUAAACGAUGAUUACUAGGUGUGGGGGGACUGACCCCUUCCGUGCCGCAGUUAACACAAUAAGUAAUCCACCUGGGGAGUACGGCCGCAAGGUUGAAACUCAAAUGAAUUGACGGGG
rnacentral:rRNA from 1 species